GACGAACGCUGGCGGCGUGCUUAACACAUGCAAGUCGAACGGAAAGGCCCUGCUUUUGUGGGGUGCUCGAGUGCCGAACGGGUGAGUAACACGCGAGUAACCUGCCCCUGACUUUGGGAUAACUUCAGGAAACUCGGGCUAAUACCGGAUAGGAUCUCCUGCUGCAUGGUGGGGGUUGGAAAGUUUCGGCUGUUGGGGAUGGACUCGCGGCUUAUCAGCUUGUUGGUGGGGUAGUGGCUUACCAAGGCUUUGACGGGUAGCCGGCCUGAGAGGGUGGACGGCCACAUGGGGACUGCGGUACGGCCCAGACUCCUACGGGAGGCAGUAGUGGGGAAUAUUGCACAAUAGGCGGAAGCCUGAUGCAGCAACGCCGCGUGCGGGAUGCCGGCCUUCGGGUUGUAAACCACUUUCGCCUGUGACGAAGCGUGAGUGACGGUAAUGGGUAAAGAAGCACCGGCUAACUACGUG
rnacentral:rRNA from 1 species